rnacentral:rRNA from 1 species
CCUACGGGUGGCAGCAGUGGGGAAUAUUGCACAAUGGGGGAAACUCUGACGCAGCGACGCCGCGUGAGUGAAGAAGUAUUUCGGUACGUAAAGCUCUGUUAGUAGGGAAGAACAAGAAGGUUACUGACUAAGAAGCCCCUGCCAACAACGUGCCAGCAGCCGCGGUCAUACGUAGGGCGCAAGCGUUCUCCGGAUUUACUGGGUGUAAAGGGAGCGUAGACGGCUGGGCAAGUCUGGAGCGAAAGGCGGGUGCUCAACCGCCGGUCUGCUCUGGAAACUGACAGGCUGGAGUGCAGGAGAGGUGAGUGGAAUUCCAAGUGUAGCGGUGAAAUGCGUAGAUAUAAGGAGGAACACCAGUGGCGAAGGCGGCUUACUGGACUGUAACUGACGUUGAGGCUCGAAAGCGUGGGGAGCAAACAGGAUUAGAUACCCUAGUAGUC